rnacentral:rRNA from 1 species
GACGGAGGAUGCAAGCGUUAUCCGGAAUGAUUGGGCGUAAAGCGUCUGCAGGUGGCAGUUCAAGUCUGCUGUCAAAGACCGGGGCUUAACUUCGGAAAGGCAGUGGAAACUGAACAGCUAGAGUAUGGUAGGGGCAGAGGGAAUUCCUGGUGUAGUGGUGAAAUGCGUAGAGAUCGGGAGGAACACCCGUGGCGAAGGCGGCCUGCUGGGCCGAUCCUGACGCUGAGGCGCGAAGGCGUGGGGAGCGAACGGG